AUGACAGGAGCCAAUCACAUUAGUUUAGAAGCUAUUUAAACUUACCUCUCCCUUUACUCCCUGCCCUAUCGUGGUUUCUGUUUCAGUUCCUUUUAGCGCUUGUUGUGUUCAGUUGUGUUUUCUCCGUAUUGCCCUUGGCUUUGUUUCUGACUACGUUUUCUCUUUAUCCUUAUCUGUUCUGUUUGCCGGCUUGCUGUUAACUGUGUACCAGACCCCGGCUAGUCCUAGUUUACGCUGUCUCUCUGUGCCCUUGACUUCGGAUCGUUCCUG